UCGAUGUCUAUUGUCUCCAUGGGGCAUGG
rnacentral:sRNA from 1 species